GACGAACGCUGGCGGCGUGCUUAACACAUGCAAGUCGAACGGAAAGUCCCUGCUUUUGUGGGGUGCUCGAGGGGCGAACGGGUGAGUAACACGUGAGUAACCUGCCCUUGACUUUGGGAUAACUUCAGGAAACUGGGGCUAAUACCGGAUAGGAGCUCCUGCUGCAUGGUGGGGGUUGGAAAGUUUCGGCGGUUGGGGGUGGACUGGCGGCUUAUCAGCUUGUUGGUGUGGUAGUGGCUUACCAAGGCCUUGCCGGGUAGGCUGCCUGAGAGGGGGACCGGCCACAUUGCGCCUGGGAUACGGCACAGACUAGUACGGGAGGCAACAGUGGAGAGGAGUGCACAAUGGGAGGAAGGCUGAUGCAGCAACGCAGCGUGCGGGAUGACGGGCUGCGGGUUGUAAACUGCUUCUGUCUUUGACGAAGCGUGAGUGACGGUAAUGGGUAAAGAAGCACCGGCUAACUACGUG
rnacentral:rRNA from 1 species